rnacentral:rRNA from 1 species
UCCAGACUCCUACGGGAGGCAGCAGUGGGGAAUAUUGCACAAUGGGGGAAACCCUGAUGCAGCAACGCCGCGUGAGUGAAGAAGUCAUUCGUGAUGUAAAGCUCUAUCAGCAGGGAAGAAAAUGACGGUACCUGAGUAAGAAGCCCCGGCUAACUACGUGCCAGCAGCCGCGGUAAUACGUAGGGGGCAAGCGUUAUCCGGAUUUACUGGGUGUAAAGGGGGCGCAGACGGCGAUGCAAGCCAGGAGUGAAAGCCCGGGGCCCAACCCCGGGACUGCUCUUGGAACUGCGUGGCUGGAGUGCAGGAGGGGCAGGCGGAAUUCCUAGUGUAGCGGUGAAAUGCGUAGAUAUUAGGGGGAACACCAGUGGCGAAGGCGGCCUGCUGGACGAUGACUGACGUUGAGGCUCGAAAGCGUGGGGAGCAAACAGGAUUAGAUACCCGAGUAGAU